UAGGGAAUCUUCCACAAUGGACGCAAGUCUGAUGGAGCAACGCCGCGUGAGUGAAGAAGGUUUUCGGAUCGUAAAGCUCUGUUGUUGGUGAAGAAGGAUAGAGGCAGUAACUGGUCUUUAUUUGACGGUAAUCAACCAGAAAGUCACGGCUAACUACGCGCCAG
rnacentral:rRNA from 1 species